GAAAAAUCACAUUUGAGAAGAGGAUUGGAUCCUAGCCAUAACAUAAAUAUAAGGGUGGAACCAAAGUUUUAAUCAAAGAAGGUGAUGUUCAGUUGCUGCUUACGAUAGUUGAUACCCCAGGAUUUGGAGAUGCAGUGGAUAAUAGUAAUUGCUGGCAGCCUGUUAUCAAUUACAUUGAUAGUAAAUUUGAGGACUACCUAAAUGCAGAAUCACGAGUGAACAGAUGUCAGAUGCCUGGUAACAGGGUGCAGUGUUGUUUAUACUUCAUUGCUCCUUCAGGACAUGGACCAUUACAUAACUGAAGACUCCCACCUUCAGGCAGGAUUGGGUAGUACGUGUUUGUAACUACCUGGCAUUGCCUUUUGUUGAGGAAGGGUAGAUGUCUACCCAAAUGGAAUAUUGAGUAUCAGAGACUUCAAAUGAUAACUUUUGUUUGUUUGGAGAAAAUCUUGAGGACGUGAUCACUGUACAAAAGCAUGGCAAAAUGAGGAAACCACUGACAGGUGAAGAAUUUGCACAAUGGAAAACCACCUUGACCAUCUCAUGACUUUAUACAGGAAUCGGAGUGAGUUGGACUAUGGAUCAGGUACUGUGCUCAGCAUCAGAAAAUGGGAUGACAAUGAACAGAGUAACACGACUAUAUUUCUGAAAAAGGAUGAACUUACUGGAAACAGGAUUGCGUGCCUGAAAUAGACCCAAAUGGAUAUAAAUGUCAACUCAGUUCUGGGCUGGAGAUAUAGAUUUGGAAUGCACCAACAAUGCAGAUGGUAAUCCUGGCAUGCGAGUAGGGAAUCAGUUGUCCUUUGUCAUUCAGAAUGGGAUCACCACAAAUGUCACUUAUCAACAGGAAAAGCUGAAAUGCCUCAAUAAAUUAAUAAUCUGUC
rnacentral:lncRNA from 1 species